GACGAACGCUGGCGGCGUGCUUAACACAUGCAAGUCGAACGAUGAAGCCGGAGCUUGCUCUGGUGAAUUAGUGGCGAACGGGUGAGUAACACGUGAGUAACCUGCCCUUGACCCUGGGAUAACUGCGGGAAACUGUAGCUAAUACCGGAUACGACCCUCGGAGGCAUCUCCUGGGGGUGGAAAGAAUUUCGGUCAAGGAUGGACUCGCGGCCUAUCAGCUAGUUGGUGAGGUAACGGCUCACCAAGGCGACGACGGGUAGCCGGCCUGAGAGGGUGACCGGCCACACUGGGACUGAGACACGGCCCAGACUCCUACGGGAGGAAGCAGUGGGGAAUAUUGCACAAUGGGCGCAAGCCUGAUGCAGCAGCGCCGCGUGAGGGAUGACGGCCUUCGGGUUGUAAACCUCUUUUAGUAGGGAAGAAGCGAAAGUGACGGUACCUGCAGAAAAAGCACCGGCUAACUACGUGCCAGCCGCCGCCGUAA
rnacentral:rRNA from 1 species